UCAUUUUGUAAUGUGGUAUAAAUCAGUUAACAAGUCUUACAAUAAAUAUUUAAUGAAGAUAAUGUAAUUGAAGAAGACAUUUUAUAAGAACUUACAAAAAUGUGCGCAAUUUUUUAAUAAAAAGAAAGGCACACAAGGGUCUUCAAAAUGUUCGUUAAUAGAAGAGGAGAAGUCGUCAAUAAAAAUUACUACAAAUGUUUGAACGAAGCGCACCCGGUUGUAUUCACGCGGGUUCGUUAACAAUCGUGGUUUUAUUUUGUCUUAAGUCUUUAGCUAUGUCGAGGAUAAGGAAUGAGGGCCAUAUUUAAGAGUAGUUUAGAUGUACAAUGGUCUCUCUUUAAAAUGUUUGUGGACGAAUCUCAAUAUUAAAAAGCAAAACUUACAAAUAUUAUCAACAUUAUGCCGAUGAAAAAACAAUGGAAGUUAUGAUUUUUUAUUUAUUUUUGUUUUAAGAUUAUCAUCAGUUAACAUCAAAAUCGUAAAUACGCCCAUGUUUAUAUUG